GCGACUUCUCUCUUUUGCUAUAUUUGGGAUAUUAGGGUUCCGCGACUCAUCUAGAAGCGAUUGAUGCUAAAAUUGCGGCCAUUCUCGAUGAGGCUCGAACAUCAUACGCCACGCACAACCGAAAGCUCAAGGAACUGUCACUCCUCCGAGCCAAAUCCUCUUCUUCGGUCUUCUUUUCCGCCUUCUCUAGAACCCUAACUCCUCUCUUUGAUUUCCAGAGGCGCCUUGCCUCUGUUGAACGCGUCGUCUCCUUCGUCUCUGCCCUUGCUGCCUCCGCCUCCGACGAAUUCAUCGACUGCUUCCUCAAGUUCCUCCUAGCUGCCAGCAAAACAACCAGAUUCCGAGCGUGCCAGAUCGUCUCCGAGAUAAUGAUGGUGAGGGUACGAGACAAGAUGCCUAUGGUACUUUUGCAGUUAGAGCACUUUCACGUUUUGUGAACGACUUUGUGAACAGUGACAUCCUUGAUUUGUACCUCGAGGUGCUUCCCUUUGGAACAUAAUGCAGUGAGUGUUACAAUCAGAUAACGUCCAUUUCUUUUUGUUUCAUACUUCGGUCUGGAUCAAUUGUGUGGUUUCGUGUUCAGGAUUUUAGUAGUUUAUAGUAUAUUAGGUGCAAUUUCUAUUGAAGGUUUUAGACAAAAUCAUCAUAUUCUCU
rnacentral:sRNA from 1 species